AGGGCAUAGGAGAUAGUUUGUCCUGGAGUAUGAGCAAGCAUGGUCAUCGGCUUAGAGCAAAUGGAAAAAACCUCUGCGGUAGCUCUUGGAUGCUAUCUUAUGACAUUCUCAGCUUUUCUUUGGUGAAGGCUAGAAGACUUUUCAUACAUUCCAAAAGGAUUCAUCUGAUAGCUACAAGGGUCACACACCAAAGUGGACAAUAAAUGGCUGAUUAAGGACCUAAGACAUCCCAAGAUAAUGUGGCUCUGGACCUGCAACAUCCCAACAUCUCCACAGUCAUCAAAGUUGUAAUUUUUCAGACCUGAACUAAAUACCAAUUGUGGCCUCAGUCUUGCACAAGGCACUGAGGAUACAACCAUGAUGAAAUAAGCUGGUGAAAUGGAAUACAAUAAACCAUGUGCACCAAGAAACCCAUUGGUGAUCAGGAUACAACUAAGCCUACAACAGUGACUUUUACCAACAGUGUAGAAAUUACAUUAGAAGGCAAAGCAUUGACAACAUUGCCAGUCUGGCCAUCUGCAAGAAGCCUUUAAGGGAACCUCAGCUGCAAAGUGGAACCACCUUCUCUAGGAUGACACAUAAUCAUUAGGCAUACAAGGAAUUUAUUACCAUUCCUCUUCUACCUGCCCUGAUGGCCCUACCUUAAGGCUGGUAGCAUACUUGCCCACUGGCAAGGAAGUCUGUAUGUUUGCUGCCUCGAAACCAGAAAUGUGUAGCAUCGAGUCUGGACCCUCGCCAAAUUUCUACAGGGCAUUAGCAACAAACUGGUGAAGCUCAUUAAAAAAGAGAGAGAGAAACCUAUAACCAUUAAAAGCCCAUUAAGCAGCCUGU